CACCGCGGUUAUACGAGAGACCCAAGUUGUUAGACACCGGCGUAAAGAGUGGUUAGGAAAACUCAUUCAACUAGAGCCGAACACCUUCAAAGCUGUUAUACGCACCCGAAGGUAAGAAGUCCAACUACGAAAGUGGCUUUAUGUUAACUGAACCCACGAAAGCUAGGACA
rnacentral:rRNA from 2 species